AGCACUAUAUUUAAACCUACAGAUGGGAAUUUUCCCCAUUCUAGGUUACGCUGUAGUGCAAAAAGAAUUCCUGGCUCCUGGUUGCACAGCUGACUUAUGCCAUUUUGCUGUUGCUUUAUGGAGUUAAGGAACAUUG
ensembl:snoRNA Gm26493 small nucleolar RNA SNORA46